rnacentral:rRNA from 1 species
UACGUAGGGGGCUAGCGUUGUCCGGAAUCAUUGGGCGUAAAGAGCGUGUAGGCGGCCCGGUAAGUCCGCUGUGAAAGUCGGGGGCUCAACCCUCGAAUGCCGGUGGAUACUGUCGGGCUAGAGUGCGGAAGAGGCGAGUGGAAUUCCUGGUGUAGCGGUGAAAUGCGCAGAUAUCGGGAGGAACACCAAUGGCGAAGGCAGCUCGCUGGGACGGUACUGACGCUGAGACGGCGAAAGCGUGGGGAGCAAACAGGG